GAAUGUUGCAACCUGCUCCAACUCUUGUUCACUAAGAUCCAGCAGUUGGCAGAGUGUGGCAACCUGUUUUCUCAAUAUUGUUGACCUCAGGAGUUCAGGGUUUUCUGCUUUGCUUUCCUCUGCAUAUUUUUGCAGACAGUCCACGUAUGUUUGUCAUUACACCAGGUCUUGCAAAGAGAUAGGGAUUUUCAGAAGGUACACCAACUUCAUCCCUCCUUUUAAUCAGCAAGUCAAUGGACUCCUUCAUUCUCUCUGUCAAGAAAACAGCAUCCUGAGGUGAUUCCUCAGAGCCAUCACAUUUUUGCUUUUUUCCAGAAGUUCCAAGAACUGGUGCCUGGAUUUCACAUGGCCAUGUUUUGCAUACAGUGAUUCCCUGUAUCUGCAAAGCAAAGAAUCACUCCUGAUGUGAAAGGACACAUCAUCUUGUUGCAUGUUGUUGAUUU